rnacentral:lncRNA from 1 species
CAUGCCCUAUUGUUAAACCCAGGUUUGGUGGAAGUGCCAAUAAAAAACAGUUUCAGGUUAGGGUGGACCUCAGAGUGGGUAUUCUCCAGGGGAUUUUCACAUUCUCAUUUGGCAUUCAAUGGACUUAAACUUUGAAAAACAACCUAUUACAUCAUAUUUUUCCGCAAAUAUUUUCAUUACACAAUAUUUUAAUCAGAUCAGAAGUCUUUUCAAAUAAACUCUCAGUUUCACUUACUUUAGUCAUUUACUUCAAGUUCAUUGAGGAAUGAGUAUUUUUAAGCUAUAGAUGUUAUUGUAGUCACAGAUGUUUUUAUACUGUACAAACUUUUGUACCCAGUCUCAAACUUCACAGGGAGUACAAUCCAAUUGUUUUUAAUGAUUAUUGUGUCAGUGGGUACGAAGGUCACAUGACUGUUCAUCGCCAUUCAAGGAAUCAGGCAGGAACUAUCAGCAUGUGAGCUACCAUGGGAGAAGCAUGUCCCAGAAAGCAGCUGGUCCUUUGGCCUGGGCUCCAGAAAAAGAUCUAGAAAACCUCUUGCUCCCAGAAGCAGAGCUGCAGCCCACGUGCAAAGAUCUCUCUGUGUCACCCAGCUGGAAUGCAGCAGCACAAUCAUGGCUCACUGCAGCCUUGAACUCCCAGGCUCAAGCAAUCCUCCCACCUCCACCUCCAGAGUAGCUGUACAUGGAUCCUCAGAUUGGCUUAAGCAACCUGUCUUGAUUAUGAGCGCAUGAACCAGCUCUGAGAUACAAGAAAUAGUCCUACCAAUAAGGACUGCUGCUUCUUACAGUCUUAGUGUUUGUCCUUUAUUGCAGGCAUUGUAUUAGAACGCCUUAAAACCUGUGAAUGUCCUUGGAAAAAGUGUCCUGGAAAACAGUUCUUGUAAUUUUUGCUAAGUAUAAUUAGUCAUGUAACAUGUUUGCAUUAAUUGGGGAAAAUAAUUUGGGAGCCUAUUUUUUUCCUGUAUCAUUCUGUAUCUCACUAAACUUAACACAAAUGUUCAAAGACCCUUGUGAAAAUAUUUGAUAUGUGCUUGCUGAAAUUAUUCUGUUGUUUCAGGAU